rnacentral:rRNA from 1 species
AAUCAACGCUGGCGGCGUGCCUAACACAUGCAAGUCGAGCGAGAAAGUGUAGCAAUACAUGAGUACAGCGGCGCACGGGUGAGUAACACGUGGGUAAUCUGCCCUAGAGUGGGGAAUAACACCGGGAAACCGGUGCUAAUACCGCAUACGAUCACGAUGUCUGCGGAUGUUGUGAUGAAAGGAGCAAUUCGCUCUUGGAGGAGCCCGCGGCUGAUUAGCUAGUUGGUAAGGUAACGGCUUACCAAGGCAACGAGCAGUAGCCGGUCUGAGAGGACGGUCGGCCAAACUGGAACUGAGACACGGUCCAGACUCCUACGGGAGGCAGCAGUGGGGAAUUUUUCGCAAUGGGGGCAACCCUGACGAAGCAACGCCGCGUGGGUGAUGAAGUCUCUUGGGACGUAAAACCCUUUCGACGGGGAAGAAACCGCAAGGUUGACGGUACCCGUAGAAGAAGCCCCGGCUAACUCCGUGCCAGCAGCCGCCGUAACAC